CCUGGAUCCUUCCAUAGCUCAGUGGGAGAGCAUCUGCUCUGCAGGCAGGAGACCCCAGGUUCAAUCUCUGAACCUCCAGUUUCAGGA